UUUAAUCCCAUUUGUCAUCAUUGAGAUAAUUGUGUGUGGCUUCAUCUCUUGUAGAGACAUAUAAGGAUUCAGAAAGGUGGCACAUUACCUGAGCUGCAGCAGUGCAACAAGUGUUACAGCAAUUGCCAGCAAUUUUCUGCUUGACCAGCAUGUUUAAGCCAGCCAAACUGGUCAAAUUAAAAAGUCAUCUUCAAAUCCACUUCAACAAGGCAGUUGUCUGUGGAGUACAUCUUGUCUUGGGAGCACCCUUUGAUUUUACAUCUUGUGACAUUCCAAUCAUACGAAGAUGGUGGACUCUU